CUUCCUUUAACCUCCUGUCAGGACAGAAGGCAGAGCCAGCUGGAAAGAAUCGGCAAGUAAGCCAAGUCUGGGCUCCUUAGGCUGUCCAGGCCUCCCCUUCCUCCCUCCUGCUGGCUGUGUGCACCUCCCUUUGGUGGCAGGAUGUAGGGACAGAAGCUUGGUGAUGUUGACAGAGCUUUGGACUUCAAGCCAGAUGGCCCACUGCUGCUGACUGGCCGGCUCUGUGCCCCUGGGUAAAUUGUGGCCUCAGUUUCCUCAUCUGUGCAAGGCAAUAACAACCCUCCUUUUACAGGGUGUUGGGAAGCCAAAGUGUCCAGGGCAGUGCUGUGUGGAUUGUCCAGCACGGGGCACUGCACCAGGCCAACUCUGCAGGCUGGGCCCUUGCAGCCACAGGCCUUGUUGCUCCCACAUGAAGGCCAGAUGCCCUACAGCUGGGCUCCACUGUCAGAAGCCCCAGCCACGUGUCACUGGUGUCCUUAGGUCCUGCUGGCUGAACGUUUCCUGAAACCAGGGCCCUGUUUUCCCAUCUGUGAAGUGGGGCAGCCUUGGUUACAGACUCCUUUCUGCCUCCCAGGGAUGAAUUGAGAGAGAGUGAGAUCAUGUCUGGGCCACGCUCUGGGAGCUUCAGAGGCGUCCUAAGAUAAACACCAGGCGGCCUAACUGCCUGGAAGAACAGAGGCUGCCACAAACCUCGGCUCCACUCCCCACUAUCGAGGGGGUGGGGGAAGCACGCCUUUCCUGUCAGGUGGGCAAUCAGACCCGUUCUGAGCCACAGCUGAAGCAGUAGAACAGGCAGAUGUCUUGCAGGCUCCUUCCUACAGUGCUGGCUGAGACAACAAAGAGGUAGUAUUGCUCAAGGGCUUGGAAGGAAGAGACAGGGGUCAGAGUGGCAAAGCCCCGAGACAGAAGGAGGAAAGUGAGGGAGGGAAGGAGACAAAAACAAGGCCUAGGCUGGGCAGGCAUCUGUAAUCCCAGCACUCAGGAAGCUGAGGCAGGAGGAUUGCUGUGAGUUCGAGCCAAGCCUGAGCUAUACAGUGAGUUCAAGGCCAGACUGAACUGUAGCUUACAUAGUGAGACUCUCAAAAAGAAAAAAUAAAAACAAAAAGAAAGAGAAACCUUGCACAAAGACUCUGGGUGUCCUUUAUUCCUAAAAGGAGAGGGAUGCU
rnacentral:lncRNA from 1 species